AGCCGCGGGAGUUCGUCUGCCGGGAGCGGAAGCCGCGCGGGGGGCACUUCCGGUGCCUGAGCCUGAGAAUCGCGCUACGGGUGCCCAGGAGCUCACACUUAGUCUCCUCGCGUAUCGGCCGUGGGCUGGUUUCCUAAGAGCAGCGGAGCCUCGUGGAUUCUGGCUUUGCGUUCCUAUCAGUACACCUGAAUGCAGUUUUCCCACGUAGAUUUGAUAAAGAGAAGACAAAAAACAAAGUAAAAAAAAUGGGUCUCCAAAAGAGGCUUGGCAAACUGUCGAGAGACAGAGCAGUGUUGUCACGGGGCAGAGCGUUCUUAAAAUAAAUGGAUUGCUCGAAAGUUGUCACUCUUCGUUUUCUGCAAGAAAUUAGACGGAGGCUCAGCUCUUCAACUCUUUCUGGUAGACGGCGCCUGAGGGAACCUCAUCCUUCCCUACCGGUCCCCUGGCAGUCCAAGAUUGCCUGGUUUGAAAUCACAUUCUUCAUGAACAUCUUCAUCAAGGCAUCUGCCAUAGGAACCUACAUUAUCGUUUUCUGUAUUUAUCAAUGCUCCAGUUGAAAAGGACUGUUAAUGUCAAUUAUCAAGUGACCAAGACUUAUGGAAUCAUAAUGUAACUACCUUCUUCCCAUUCAAAGGUAAUUUGGAAAUGUGCCAAAACCUUUUACAAACCUAGUAAUAUUGUAAAACAUGAAUAACUUUUAACGCUAUUCCUAUUUUUCUUUUACAUCUCUAGGUCCCUUUUCUCUCUUUCCUGUGAUGAUCCAUUUUCUUCUGGCCCGAAUGCACUCAUUUCUCAAAGUUCCGUUCUCUAUGAAGUUCUCUUCCCUUUCUAUACUGCCUUUAUCAGCACAUCUGCUCCUAGUUGCCUGUCGAAUAUACAUUCUUCCUUAUUAACAGAAUCCCUAUUUUGUUUGAAUUGACAAUGUGCUAACUAAAAAUAUCUGUCUUUCCAGACUGUUUUGCAGCUGAGGUGGCCGUGUGACAGUUCUGGCCAAUGAGUAAGUAGAAGUCAGCCAGGGAUUCGGGGAAAGCCUUUUUUCUCUUGAUACAGGUACUGCCAGUUCCCCCUUUUCUCUUCCUCUUUUUUCCUGUCUGGAAUGUGGAUGUGAGAUUAGGAGUAGAGCAGCCAUCUUGCGGUCAUGAGAUCACAAGAAUGAAAUAAAGAUAUAUUUGCUAAUGAUGUGGAGGGGGGA
rnacentral:lncRNA from 1 species